CUGGACUGGGAAAGCAAUGGUGGUCUGGUGAAGAAACUUCCUGCUAUCCGUGAGGACGAUGAGAAUGAUGAGGAGCAGCACUCAGUGUCAAGGGCCCCACGUUCUCCCCUUCGCCUGACCAGGGGCCUCAGCUCCCCCCUGAGAUCGCCUCUUCUCCCCCCUCGCCCAUCCCAUUCCGCCCUCCGUCAGACCACACACGGCCCGCCACCCUCCAGAUCCCUGUGGUCAGUUUCAGCAGCGCUCCUCCAGAACUCAGCCCCAGGUUUGUGGAUGGCAUAGAGACAGAUAGCAAUUCCAGCUCAAUACCAAGGUUUGAGUUCGGUCCCACCCUACCUCAGAGCGGUCCUCCAUCACCUUCCCCAGGUACAUAUGCAACUACAAAACAGAAUGUGAUUUCUGGAAUUAAAUAUUACGAAGUAUUAUUUCCAAAAAUAGACUGUCUUGCACAGUUAGACUUAUUCUGCAGCUUAUUCAACCCAAGAACCGCCCACUUAGACAGGAAGGGACCAUCUGACCAAUAUGUAAAACAGCCAACUAUUUUUUUUAAUGUGACAUUUAGGGCUGGUACAUCUGAAAUUGGAUAUGAACCUCAAAGCAAUAGAGUAUAUUUUUGCUGCUCAGGGAUAUUUGUCCCACUAAAUGUCUCAAUCAAAACUCUUCAGCACCUUUGAGGAUAAGACUUGAUGCCACGGACCUUGAACUUUACAAACCUUAGCAAAUCCAUUUAUUAAUGUUUCCUUUCAAUCAUUUAUCUUAACAGCUUGGGAACUUUACUAAUGUAAAUUCUGAUGCACAGUAAGAAGUUAAAGCUUGCCAAUCAGAUUGCAGCUCUUACAAGUUUUGUGUGCAAUAUGGAUCAGAUGGUCAGGGAACCGUCUGUCACAAUAAAUUUAUUUUCUUCAUCCGUCCAAUCUUUCCUCAUCCACUCUACAACAAACUUAACUCAUUUUGUGCGGGUUUGUUUGCAGUGAACCAGGAGCAGCUGGAGACCAAGCAGAGCAUCACCAAACUGAGUGAGGAGGUAAGUGAAUCAAACACAUUAAAUCAGAAUAAAUCAAUUUAUAUUCAACAUAAAUAUAAACACGCUUUCCCUGGUUUCACGUCAAUGUGACGCAAACCUCCAGGUCAAUUCCAAUCUCAAGUACUUAACAAUGUGGAUAGAGUUUUAGUACUCAGAACUGGAAUAGGUAUAGAGUCUGGGUCCUAAUCCAGGACAAGACCGGACUCGGACAAACUCCUGAGUACUACAACACUGCACAACUUGCAGUUUAUAAAAUCCUUUUGUAUCUGUGAAGAUGUCUGAAAAGUAGAUCAGGCUCUACC
rnacentral:lncRNA from 1 species